GAUUGGUCACCUGAGUCUAUGGAUAAUCAUGUUCAUUAUUGCACUUUAGCCUGUACAAGCCAAUUGUUGAUUUGUAUCUUAAGUACAAGUGUGUGUGUGUGUGUGUGUGUGUGUGUGUGUGUGUGUGUGUGUGUGUGUGUGUGUGUGUGUGUGUGUGUGUGUGUGUGUGUGUGUGUGUGUGUGUGUGUGUGUGUGUGUGUGUGUGUGUGUGUGUGUGUGUGUGUGUGUGUGUGUGUGUGUGUGUGUGUGUGUGUGUGUGUGUGUGUGUGUGUGUGUGUGUGUGUGUGUGUGUGUGUGUGUGUGUGUGUGUGUGUGUGUGUGUGUGUGUGUGUGUGUGUGUGUGUGCAUGUGCGUGUUCACACACAUGCAUUAUUUGUUGAAGACACUUCUAUAGACUGGCUCUCGUUUAGGCCACAUUGUGUGCUAUAGAAUCAUAAGCCUGAUGUACUAGGUGCAUGGAGACACAGACACAUGUACAGUACCACCAAAAAAAAACUACAAAAUCAAAGAUUCUAAGUAGAAAAGCAAUAUUGCAUUCUCCUAGCCCUCUGUGGUUUUUCUUUAUUGGGAAGGUCAUUUAAUUUGAUGUUUCAACAAAACAAAAAUAAAUUGUGUUCUCUGACUUUGGAUCUCAAGCCUUAUUCCCCUUGCCGGUACUAUAACCUGGACACCUUCAUAAGUCAAUCGAAGACAGGAGGGAUGUUCCACUGAGUAGUGGGGGGGGUAGAUACUAAGAGGCCUCUACAUAUUAGCAACCAAGAAGCCUCAUGUUUCAAAGGAUUAAAGACUUCUACAUGAUGACAUUUCAUAUUUUUUUAAAAAUUCUCACAUACUAUACCGUUCAUGUUUUCAGUGAAAAGUCACACUUUUAUUCAACGGUUUUCAGCUGUGCUAACAUAAUUGCACAAGGGUUUUUUAAUCAUCGAUUAGCCUUUUAACACGAUUAGCUAAACUAUGUACCAUUAGAACACUGUAGUGAUGGUUGCUGGAAAUGAGCCUCUGUACACCUAUGUAGAUAUCCCAUUUAAAAUCAGCCGUUUCCAGCCAGCAUAGCUGGAAUGACAUUUGUAAGUGACCCCAAACUUUUGAACGGUACUGUAUACCAGAAUUGAUAUCAACGUUUACCCACCCAUAAGAGAAUAGGAUCCACAUGUUAGUGAAAGAGAUUGUGUGACCAACUCUUAACUGUCAGCGUGUUGACUAGUAACAUGUCGUCUGCUGAAUUCAUCAUUGCAUCAAGUGAAGAAAUACACUCCCUAACACUGGAAUACACCGGCCCGCAUGCAUCACUGAAACCCAAGAUAAUGCCCUCACCAAGGAACUCAGCUAUAUAGUUGCUCAGGACAACCACAUAUGUUCAUGGUUUGUUGAAACAGGGGACGGCUUAGCUCAGGAGGUAGAUCUGGUUGGCUGGUAACCAGGAAAGUUGCUAGUUCGAUCCCCGGCUCUUCCUAUCUGAGUGUCGAGGUGACCCUGAGCAAGACACCUCCCCCUGACUGCUCCUGACGAGCUGGCUGUCGCCCUGCAUGGUUGACUCCACCGUGAAUGUGUGUAUGGAUGUAAGUCUCUUGUAAGUCGCUUUGGAUAAAAGCGUCUGCUAAAUGCCCUCAAUGUAAAUGUAAAAUGUAAAUGUAACAGAGGUUGUUUGUCAGGUGUUCCUUCGAUCUCUACCUCGUACGAACACCAAAGGGCUGAGGCCUGGUUCAGCCGAGGCCUGGAACAGUUUACGGCUGGUACAGGUUAGGGCUGGUACAGGUUAGGGCUGAUACAGGUUAGGGCUGGUACAGGUUAAGGCUGGUACAGGUUAAGGCUGGUACGGGUUAGGGCUGGUACGGGUUAGGGCUGGUACAGGUUAGGGCUGGUACAGGUUAGGGCUGGUCCAGGUUAGGGCUGGUACCACUGGGGCCCGGUACAGGUUAGGGCUGGUACAGAUUAGUGAUGGUACACCUGGGCCCGGUACAGCUGGGGCCCGGUACAGCUGGGGCCCGGAACAGGUUAGGGCUGGUACAGCUGGGGCCCGGGACAGCUGGGGCCUGGUACAGCGACCACCACCCAUACCAGCUGAGGGGAAGGAGUUCCCCCGCAAAUACACACAAGUCAGACAGCAUCCGCUCACAAGAUCCAAUCAGGAGAAGCUUCCUCGUUAGCCGCAGCCCAAGCGUGUGAGAAACAAAACAAUGCAAUGUGGUCUGGAGACUGAUCACAGGGUCACCUAUUGAUUCUGUUACUACGUUGUUUUAAUAAUCAAGAGUUAUCUUUGAAUCUGUUACUACGCUGCUUUAUCUGAAUAAUCAAGAGUUAUCUCUGAAGAUGUUAGGAGGUCCCUUGGCAUUUGGGCUGUUGUUGUUGUUGUUGUUGUUGUCGUGGAGAUAGGAUCCUAGUAAGGAUGAUUGCUGUAGGGGCUUAGUCGUGCUGGCCACCUGCUUCAAGCAUUUGGCCAGGCUGUGUGUGUGUGCGUGUGCGUGUGUGUGUGUGUGUGUGUGUGUGUGUGUGUGUGUGUGUGUGUGUGUGUGUGUGUGUGUGUGUGUGUGUGUGUGUGUGUGUGUGUGUGUGUGUGUGUGUGUGUGUGUGUGUGUGUGUGUCUGGGGGA